rnacentral:rRNA from 1 species
GAUGAACGCUGGCGGCGUGCCUAAUACAUGCAAGUCGAGCGAACGGACGAGAAGCUUGCUUCUCUGAUGUUAGCGGCGGACGGGUGAGUAACACGUGGAUAACCUACCUAUCAGACUGGGAUAACUUCGGGAAACCGUAGCUAAUACCGGAUAAUAUUUUGAACCGCAUGGUUCAAAGGUGAAAGACGGUCUUGCUGUCACUUAUAGAUGGAUCCGCGCUGCAUUAGCUAGUUGGUAAGGUAACGGCUUACCAAGGCAACGAUGCAUAGCCGACCGGAGAGGGUGAUCGGCCACACGGGAACUGAGACGCGGUCCAGACUCCUACGGGAGGCAGCAGUAGGGAAUCGUCCGCAAUGGGCGAAAGCCUUACGGAACAACGCCGCGUGAGUGAUGAAGGUCUUCGGAUCGUAAAACUCGGUUAUGAGUGAAGAACAGAUGUGUAAGUAACUGUGCACAUCUUGACGGUACCUAAUCAGAAAGCCACGGCUAACUACGUG